rnacentral:rRNA from 1 species
UACGUAGGGUGCAAGCGUUGUCCGGAAUUAUUGGGCGUAAAGAGCUCGUAGGCGGUUCGUCGCGUCGGCUGUGAAAUCCCGAGGCUCAACCUCGGGUCUGCAGUCGAUACGGGCGGACUGGAGUUCGGCAGGGGAGACUGGAAUUCCUGGUGUAGCGGUGAAAUGCGCAGAUAUCAGGAGGAACACCGGUGGCGAAGGCGGGUCUCUGGGCCGAUACUGACGCUGAGGGCAAGCGAAGGGCGUAGGGA